rnacentral:rRNA from 1 species
AUUAGCGGUCAUAGGUGUAGGGCAACACCCGGUCCCAUCUCGAACCCGGAAGUUAAGCCUACACCGUCUGUUCUCGCCCUGCGUUUUCACGUGGAGCGGUCGGAUGCUGCUAAUC